GUACACGCUGUGACUAGCAUAUCAAUAAGCGGAGGAAAAGAAACUAACAAGGAUUCCCCUAGUAACGGCGAGUGAAGCGGGAAGAGCUCAAAUUUGAAAUCUUAAAGGGUUUCCCUUUACGAAUUGUAGUUUAAAGAAGUGUUUUCUGUUGAGGUUUUGGUAAAAGUUCUUUGGAAUAGGACAUCAUAGAGGGUGAGAAUCCCGUAUUUGACCAUUACUUUUCAACUGUGUGAUACACCUUCAAAGAGUCGGAUUGUUUGGGAAUGCAGUCCAAAAUGGGUGGUAAAUUUCAUCUAAAGCUAAAUAUUGGCGAGAGACCGAUAGCGAACAAGUACCGUGAGGGAAAGAUGAAAAGAACUUUGAAAGGAGAGUUAAACAGUACGUGAAAUUGUCAAAAGGGAAGCGUUUGACACCAGUGUUGUUUUUCUGAAAAUCCAAUUAAAGAACUGUUUAUGCUAAGUUGUUUAGACUUUAUCAGCUAACUGUUUAGUUUUGAGCUUUUCUUUAAUGCACUUUUCAGUUAACAAGUCAACAUCAAUUUCUUUUGCUGUAAAAAAGCUUGAGGAAGGUGGCUUGAGAUUCGUCUUAAGUGUUUAUAGCCUCUUGCCUAUGCAGUCGGAGAGAUUGAGGUCUGCAGCGUAGAUCCUUCGGGGCUAAAUGCAUUUGUGCUAAGUUAUAGCAUUUUAUAGACAACUUGUUGACUAUGAUUUGUCUUGUAGCUUACUCGCUUAUGUUAUUUUACCUACGCUUAGGAUGUUGAUCUACAGAGCGAGAGU
rnacentral:rRNA from 1 species